AGCGUACACGGUGGAUGCCCUGGCAGUCAGAGGCGAUGAAGGACGUGCUAAUCUGCGAAAAGCGCCGGUAAGGUGAUAUGAACCGUUAUAACCGGCGAUGUCCGAAUGGGGAAACCCGGUGCACUUCGGUGCAUCAUCGUUAGCUGAAUACAUAGGCUAACGAGGCGAACCGGGGGAACUGAAACAUCUAAGUACCCCGAGGAAAAGAAAUCAACCGAGAUUCCCCCAGUAGCGGCGAGCGAACGGGGAACAGCCCAGAGCCUGAAUCAGCUUGUGUGUCAGUGGAACGGUCUGGAAAGGCCGGCGAUACAGGGUGACAGCCCCGUACACGAAGGCACACAGGCUGUGAGCUCGAUGAGUAGGGCGGGACACGUGAUAUCCUGUCUGAAGAUGGGGGGACCAUCCUCCAAGGCUAAAUACUCCUGACUGACCGAUAGUGAACCAGUACCGUGAGGGAAAGGCGAAAAGAACCCCGGCGAGGGGAGUGAAACAGAACCUGAAACCGUGUACGUACAAGCAGUGGGAGCCUUCGUAAGAGGGUGACUGCGUACCUUUUGUAUAAUGGGUCAGCGACUUAUAUUCUGUAGCAAGGUUAACCGUAUAGGGGAGCCGAAGGGAAACCGAGUCUUAAUUGGGCGUUAAGUUGCAGGGUAUAGACCCGAAACCCGGUGAUCUAGCCAUGGGCAGGUUGAAGGUUGGGUAACACUAACUGGAGGACCGAACCGACUAAUGUUGAAAAAUUAGCGGAUGACCUGUGGCUGGGGGUGAAAGGCCAAUCAAACCGGGAGAUAGCUGGUUCUCCCCGAAAGCUAUUUAGGUAGCGCCUCGUGAACUCAUCUCCGGGGGUAGAGCACUGUUUCGGCUAGGGGGCCAUCCCGGCUUACCAACCCGAUGCAAACUGCGAAUACCGGAGAAUGUUAUCACGGGAGACACACGGCGGGUGCUAACGUCCGUCGUGAAGAGGGAAACAACCCAGACCGCCAGCUAAGGUCCCAAAGUCAUGGUUAAGUGGGAAACGAUGUGGGAAGGCCCAGACAGCCAGGAUGUUGGCUUAGAAGCAGCCAUCAUUUAAAGAAAGCGUAAUAGCUCACUGGUCGAGUCGGCCUGCGCGGAAGAUGUAACGGGGCUAAACCAUGCACCGAAGCUGCGGCAGCGACACUGUGUGUUGUUGGGUAGGGGAGCGUUCUGUAAGCCUGCGAAGGUGUGCUGUGAGGCAUGCUGGAGGUAUCAGAAGUGCGAAUGCUGACAUAAGUAACGAUAAAGCGGGUGAAAAGCCCGCUCGCCGGAAGACCAAGGGUUCCUGUCCAACGUUAAUCGGGGCAGGGUGAGUCGACCCCUAAGGCGAGGCCGAAAGGCGUAGUCGAUGGGAAACAGGUUAAUAUUCCUGUACUUGGUGUUACUGCGAAGGGGGGACGGAGAAGGCUAUGUCGGCCGGGCGACGGUUGUCCCGGUUUAAGCGUGUAGGCUGACUUUCCAGGCAAAUCCGGAAGGUUAAGGCUGAGGCGUGAUGACGAGGCACCACGGUGCUGAAGUGACAAAUGCCCUGCUUCCAGGAAAAGCCUCUAAGCAUCAGGUAACAUCAAAUCGUACCCCAAACCGACACAGGUGGUCAGGUAGAGAAUACCAAGGCGCUUGAGAGAACUCGGGUGAAGGAACUAGGCAAAAUGGUGCCGUAACUUCGGGAGAAGGCACGCUGACAUGUAGGUGAAGCCCCUGCGGGUGGAGCUGAAGUCAGUCGAAGAUACCAGCUGGCUGCAACUGUUUAUUAAAAACACAGCACUGUGCAAACACGAAAGUGGACGUAUACGGUGUGACGCCUGCCCGGUGCCGGAAGGUUAAUUGAUGGGGUUAUCGCAAGAGAAGCUCCUGAUCGAAGCCCCGGUAAACGGCGGCCGUAACUAUAACGGUCCUAAGGUAGCGAAAUUCCUUGUCGGGUAAGUUCCGACCUGCACGAAUGGCGUAAUGAUGGCCAGGCUGUCUCCACCCGAGACUCAGUGAAAUUGAACUCGCUGUGAAGAUGCAGUGUACCCGCGGCAAGACGGAAAGACCCCGUGAACCUUUACUACAGCUUGACACUGAACAUUGAGCCUUGAUGUGUAGGAUAGGUGGGAGGCUUUGAAGCGUGGACGCCAGUCUGCGUGGAGCCAACCUUGAAAUACCACCCUUUAAUGUUUGAUGUUCUAACCUGGCGCCGUGAUCCGGCGUGGGGACAGUGUCUGGUGGGUAGUUUGACUGGGGCGGUCUCCUCCCAAAGUGUAACGGAGGAGCACGAAGGUCAGCUAAUCCUGGUCGGACAUCAGGAGGUUAGUGCAAUGGCAUAAGCUGGCUUGACUGCGAGAGUGACGGCUCGAGCAGGUGCGAAAGCAGGUCAUAGUGAUCCGGUGGUUCUGUAUGGAAGGGCCAUCGCUCAACGGAUAAAAGGUACUCCGGGGAUAACAGGCUGAUACCGCCCAAGAGUUCAUAUCGACGGCGGUGUUUGGCACCUCGAUGUCGGCUCAUCACAUCCUGGGGCUGAAGUAGGUCCCAAGGGUAUGGCUGUUCGCCAUUUAAAGUGGUACGCGAGCUGGGUUUAGAACGUCGUGAGACAGUUCGGUCCCUAUCUGCCGUGGGCGCUGGAGAAUUGAGGGGGGCUGCUCCCAGUACGAGAGGACCGGAGUGGACGCAUCACUGGUGUUCGGGUUGUCAUGCCAAUGGCACUGCCCGGUAGCUAAAUGCGGAAGAGAUAAGUGCUGAAAGCAUCUAAGCACGAAACUUGCCCCGAGAUGAGUUCU
rnacentral:rRNA from 1 species